UCCCUGGUGGUCCAGUGGUUAAGACUCCAUGUUUUCAGUGCAUGGGGUGCAGGUUCAAUUCCUGGUCAGGAAA
rnacentral:tRNA from 1 species